rnacentral:rRNA from 1 species
UAAGUCCACCCCCCAUGCUCUUUCCCGCCAUCAACCAGUGCGGAAGUAUACGUAGAGCGGCGGCCACAAAGCGGAGGAAGGUGGGGAUGACGUCAAAUCAUCAUGCCCCCUAUGAUUGGGGCUACACACGUGCUACAAUGGACAAUACAAAGGGCAGCGAAACCGCGAGGUCAAGCAAAUCCCAUAAAGUUGUUCUCAGUUCGGAUUGUAGUCUGCAACUCGACUAUAUGAAGCUGGAAUCGCUAGUAAUCGUAGAUCAGCAUGCUACGGUGAAUACGUUCCCGGGUCUUGUACACACCGCCCGUCACACCACGAGAGUU